UACGUAGGGUGCGAGCGUUGCCCGGAUUUAUUGGGCGUAAAGGGCGCGUAGGCGGCUCUGCACGUCCGUUGUGAAAUCGCCCGGCUCAACUGGGCGGGGUCAGCGGAUACGGCGGAGCUUGAGCAAGCUAGGGGGCAAUGGAAUUCCGGGUGGAGCGGUGAAAUGCGUUGAGAUCGGAAGGAACGCCCGUGGCGAAAGCGAGCCCCUGGACGUCUACUGACGCUGAGACGCGAAAGCCAGGGGGGCGAACGGG
rnacentral:rRNA from 1 species